rnacentral:rRNA from 1 species
AUUGAACGCUGGCGGCAGGCCUAACACAUGCAAGUCGAACGAGUGGCGGACGGGGGAGUAAUGAUUGGGAAUCUAGCUUAUGGAGGGGGAUAAGUAAGGGAAACUGUAGCCAAUACCGCGUACCAUAGGAUGAGCCCAAGUGUGAUUAGUUAGUUGGUGAGGUAAAGGAUCUCCACGCCGCCGAUCUCUAGCUGGUCUGAGAGGAUGACCAGCCACACUGGGACUGAGACACGGCCCAGACUCCUACGGGAGGCAGCAGUGGGGAAUAUUGCGCAAUGGGGGCAACCUGACGCAGCCAUGCCGCGUGAAUGAAGAAGGCCUUCGGGUUGUAAAGUUCUUUCGGUAGCGAGGCGUUAACUACAGAAGAAGCACCGGCUAACUCCGUGCCAGCAGCCGCGGUAAUAC